rnacentral:rRNA from 1 species
UCCGGUGCCCAUAAGCUGCUGGUUCCACCCGAUUCCAUUCCGAACUCGGUCGUUAAGAAGUAGCUGCCGAUGAUAGUGCAUUGUGCGAAAGUAGGUUAGUGCCGGAC